rnacentral:rRNA from 1 species
UCAGGAUGAACGCUGGCGGCGUGCCUAACACAUGCAAGUCGAGCGAAGCAUUUGGACUGCGUCCUCUUCGGAGGACAAAGACCUUAUGACUUAGCGGCGGACGGGUGAGUAACCCGUGAGGAACCUACCUCGGACAGGGGGAUAACCUGAGGAAACUCUGGCUAAUACCCCAUGAUCUAUGAAGAGAGCCUUUUCUUCAUAGCAAAGAUUUAUCGGUCUGAGAUGGCCUCGCGUCCCAUUAGCUAGUUGGUGAGAUAAGAGCUCACCAAGGCAAUGAUGGGUAGCUGAACUGAGAGGUUGACCGGCCACAUUGGGACUGAGACACGGCCCAGACUCCUACGGGAGGCAGCAGUGGGGAAUUUUGGGCAAUGGGGGAAACCCUGACCCAGCGACGCCGCGUGGAGGAUGAAGGCCUUCGGGUUGUAAACUUCUUUGGCCAGGGACGAUAAUGACUGUACCUGGAGAACAAGCCACGGCUAACUACGUGCCAGCAGCCGCGGUAAUACGUAGGUGGCAAGCGUUAUCCGGAAUUACUGGGUGUAAAGGGCGUGUAGGCGGCCUUAUAAGUUGGGUGUUUAAUUCCCGGGCUCAACCCGGGGUUGUC